rnacentral:rRNA from 1 species
GGGCGCGGGGCUAUACUGCAAGUCGAACGCGUUGGCCCAAUUGAUUGAUGGUGCUUGCACCUGAUUGAUUUUGGUCGCCAACGAGUGGCGGACGGGUGAGUAACACGUAGGUAACCUGCCCAGAAGCGGGGGACAACAUUUGGAAACAGAUGCUAAUACCGCAUAACAACGUUGUUCGCAUGAACAACGCUUAAAAGAUGGCUUCUCGCUAUCACUUCUGGAUGGACCUGCGGUGCAUUAGCUUGUUGGUGGGGUAAUGGCCUACCAAGGCGAUGAUGCAUAGCCGAGUUGAGAGACUGAUCGGCCACAAUGGGACUGAGACACGGCCCAUACUCCUACGGGAGGCAGCAGUAGGGAAUCUUCCACAAUGGGCGCAAGCCUGAUGGAGCAACACCGCGUGAGUGAAGAAGGGUUUCGGCUCGUAAAGCUCUGUUGUUAAAGAAGAACACGUAUGAGAGUAACUGUUCAUACGUUGACGGUAUUUAACCAGAAAGUCACGGCUAACUACGUGCCAGCAGCCGCGGUAAUACGUAGGUGGCAAGCGUUAUCCGGAUUUAUUGGGCGUAAAGAGAGUGCAGGCGGUUUUCUAAGUCUGAUGUGAAAGCCUUCGGCUUAACCGGAGAAGUGCAUCGGAAACUGGAUAACUUGAGUGCAGAAGAGGGUAGUGGAACUCCAUGUGUAGCGGUGGAAUGCGUAGAUAUAUGGAAGAACACCAGUGGCGAAGGCGGCUACCUGGUCUGCAACUGACGCUGAGACUCGAAAGCAUGGGUAGCGAACAGGAUANAACCCCCCCGGGGAAAAA